AGCUGUGAGCAGUGGCAGUAUCAUAGCCAAUGAGGUUUAUCCGAGGCGUGAUUAUUGUUAAUUGAAAACAUGACUGAGCAUCUUUCUGUUAUGAAGUAGUUCAAGAGGGCUGCAGACCUGGCUUUUUUGCUAAAGUAUGGUACU
ensembl:snRNA LOC120100112 U4 spliceosomal RNA